CUACGACCAGAGCCUAUCAAUUUUUAACUCCUUACAACGAUACCAGAGCAAACUAGCUGCUAUUAUUAUUUAAUAGCGUGCUAUUAUUAAUUUUGUUCUUUGACUUGGAUCAGUAUUAAUUUCUCCAAGACCGUCAUAAGCGAAACCGAAAAUUUGAUUAUCGAAAUCUUCUGAUACAUUUCUAUAACAUUUACGAGCACCAUGUCCCCAUCCCCAAAUCUUGCUCUCGUACUGAAUUUUAUGCCCACACCGGUACUUUGCUCCGACGGAAUAUAUGACGAAUUCCUAGUGGAUGUAAUCAGCGACACAGGAAUUCUAGUCCGAGGAUAUGUCUUUGACAUGAAGGACGGGUAUUUGUUAGUGAAGACCAAUUUCUGGGAUAAACUUGGCAAAUGGAUCCCGUUCGACCAUCUAAUCGUGGGAAGGGAGGUUUUAACAUAAACCUCGCACGAAGCAUCGGUUGCUGGAUGCUCCGACGCCCGAGCGAGGCCCUGAUCAGUCUAGGCGCCGGUCGGCCAGCCGUCUGGCUGCCGGCACGCGAGCUGCAAACGCACUUUUAUAAACGCAGCUAUCCCUGGUCCUGGUGGCUGCGGCAUGUUCACGUCGACGUCGGCGGCGUGGGGAGCGCUGAAUAUCUCAUCGGGGAAGAUAUCCGGUCACGCGUGCAACUACGCUACCGCUACCGCAGAUUUGGGCACCCAACGGUGGGCAACGUGUCACAAGACACUUUCCGCAAAACUACUCUGCGGUUACCACUUCGGGUGGGCAUGAAACUGCAGAAAUGCCUAAACUGCCGCCGUUUUCACGAAUAUUGGCUGAAAUAUACCGGGACCCUUAUUACGGCUAUAGUCAGUGAUCGCAUGCAAGUGCUGAGCCGUGGUCCGCUGAAUCCGCGUUCACAGCGCCAGAUUGACGUAUUUAUUUGCGUCGAAGCCUUCGAGAGAGUUAACUGGGUUGCGCAGUUUCUCCCCGCGGCGCGUUCCACAUCACAAAUUGUGAUCCAAAACAACAUGAUGCGCUUCAGUGAGAACGAACCAGCAUGCACUCUGUGCGCACUUUGGCAAAGGGGCGAAUAAGCGGUAACUGCUGUGAGUCGACCAUCGAAUCCAUCACCUUACCGAUACAGGUUGCUAUCCUUUCGUACCUCGACAUGUACGACCGUACCAGGUUGCGAAGGGUUUCUACAAACUGGAAAAGGGCCAUACAAUCCACAGCCGUGUGCUCUGAUGCAGUUAUACCGCACGCUCCAAACCGUUGGGAAUCCGCCCACGACUUAGCUUAUCGAAUUCAAAUGUCGGUGACCGAAUACACAAAAGUCGUUUAUCUUGCGGGGCCCUGGCGGGAUUUCCUAGAACCGGUCGCGACUAUUCUAUCCUAUAUGUCCAUCAAACUGGAUUGGUUAGUUAUUGCUGACAAUGAAACUGACGGUACCGAAGAAUUAUUUACUACGGGCGACACCACGUUGCUCGCCAAAUACCUGCCGCAAAUCUGCCGGCAUAUUGCUUUAAAACGUUAUGCUUUCUACCGUUGGCCUUGCUUGGUGGACAGUUUGGACUUUACGUAUUCGUUCACCCAUGGUUGCUUACACGACCUGCAAGGGGUGUUUUUUAACCACCUUAAUGAAUUGGCCAAUCCAGUAGAAGAGGCGAAAUACGUUAAAAUACAGUCGUGCAUUGUCAUUCUGUCCAAGAAGCCAUGGUUAUGGAAGAAGAAGCACUGGAAAUCCCUGCGUUCCUGUUUUAAACAAUGGAGAGUGCCGCAACCACAAAGUAUGAAAGAACUGACUGCAGCUUCCUUGGAAAGAAUGCCACGAAGAAACCUAGUCCUUCUAAGUUUAGCAUUAUGGGCGGAAAAGUUUCAAAUUCAGCUGGAAAAGUGCAAUUACUCUGUAACUGAUAGAAAGUGAAAGUUGUUGUAACUUGUAACUGUUGCCGUUGAAAAAUUGCACUCCAUAAAAACACGUACAAAGUUGCCCUAGAUACUGAUAAGAUUUAACGAUGAUCACUCAAGGUAAUCCAGCGAGUGUUGAAAAUCGAUCCUUAAUGGAAGAAUGAGAAAAUUAAAAAAAAACUCCGGUAAAAAUAACUAAGUUAAUUAUUUUUACCGGAGAGUAUUUUUAUCGGAAAUUAUGUGUACAUUUUACUGUUGUUUUACCUGCAACGUGUCCGCAUCUUAAGCUACUCUCAGCACACCGAAUUUUAUACCCUCGUGACCUUAUUCUUAUACUGUUGGGGUCUAAAUCUAAAUCUUUGAGGUCUUAGUCUAAAUCUAAAUCGUAUAGUCUAAAUCUUUGAGGCGUA